UCCCGUGUGGCUCAGUUGGUUGAGCAUGGUGUUUGCAACGCCAGGGUUGUGGGUUCGAUUCCCACAGGGGAC
rfam:Salmo salar isolate Sally breed double haploid chromosome ssa24, whole genome shotgun sequence.